rnacentral:tRNA from 1 species
GCGGUCGCUUCGUUUAAUCACAUACGCGAUUCAGGUCCGUGUGGGCUAACCCCCGUGGAGGUUCGAGUCCUCUCGACCGCACCA